rnacentral:rRNA from 1 species
GACGAACGCUGGCGGCGUGCUUAACACAUGCAAGUCGAACGGAAAGGCCCUGCUCUUGCGGGGUGCUCGAGAGGCGAACGGGUGAGUAACACGUGAGUAACCUGCCCUUGAAUUUGGGAUAACUCCAGGAAACUGGGGCUCAUACAGGAUAGGAGCUCCUGCAGCACGGUGGGGGUUGGAAAGUUUCGGCGGUGGGGGCUGGACUCGCGGCUUAUCCGCUUGUUGGGGGAGUAGUGGCUUACCAAGGCUUUGACGGGUAGCCGGCCUGAGAGGGUGACCGGCCACAAGGGGCCUAAGGGAGGGCCCAGAAGCGAACGGGAGGCAGCAGUGGAGAGUUUUACACAAUGGGCGGAAGCCUGAUGCAGCAACGCCGCGUGCGGGAUGACGGCCUUCGAGUUGUAAACCGCUGUCGCCGGUAACGAGGCGGGAGUGACGGUAAUGGAUAAAGAAGCACCGGCUAACUACGUG